rnacentral:tRNA from 1 species
GCCUGGGUGGCUCAAUCAGUUAAGCAUCUGACUUCAGCUCAGGUCAUGAUCUCACAGCUCGUGGGUUCAAGCCCCACGUCAGGCU